UUAUCUUUGCCCCGAAUUGGUUUCGGAUAGUCUAUCUGCUAUUCGGAUUAAAAGGGAAUCGGGUGCAAAUCCCGGACAGUCCCGCUGCUGUGAAACUCUGCUGGAAUCUUGAAAAAUACCUUUGCCACUGAUGUGACAAUCCUCACAUCGGGAAGGCUUCAAGAUAAGGAGUCAGUCAGAAGACCUGCCAUUCAUUAAAGGCUGUU
rnacentral:ncRNA from 2 species